GCGCCAGUGGUUUAGUGGUAAAAUCCAUCGUUGCCAUUCACACGACUCGAUGGGCCCCCGGUUCGAUUCGCGGCUGGCGCA